rnacentral:rRNA from 1 species
CCUACGGGUGGCAGCAGUGGGGAAUAUUGGGCAAUGGAGGAAACUCUGACCCAGCAAUGCCGCGUGAAUGAAGAAGGUCUUCGGAUUGUAAAGUUCUUUAGUCAGGGAAGAAUAAAAUGACGGUACCUGAAGAAUAAGCUCCGGCUAACUACGUGCCAGCAGCCGCGGUAAUACGUAGGGAGCAAGCGUUGUUCGGAAUGACUGGGCGUAAAGGGUGCGUAGGCGGUUAUACAAGUUAGAAGUGAAAUACCCAGGGCUUAACUCGGGUGCUGCUUCUAAAACUGUAAGACUUGAGUGCAGUAGAGGUUAGUGGAAUUCCUAGUGUAGCGGUGGAAUGCGUAGAUAUUAGGAGGAACACCGAUUGCGAAGGCAGCUUGCUGCAGCGGAACUGACGCUGAUGCUCGAAAGCGCGGGUAUCGAACAGGAUUAGAUACCCUAGUAGUC